CGAGUGUAGGGUUCCUAGCGAGCCCAACCUCCCACCCGUGUUUACUGUACCUUAGUUGCUUCGGCGGGCCCGCCAUUCAUGGCCGCCGGGGGCUCUCAGCCCCGGGCCCGCGCCCGCCGGAGACACCACGAACUCUGUCUGAUCUAGUGAAGUCUGAGUUGAUUGUAUCGCAAUCAGUUAAAACUUUCAACAAUGGAUCUCUUGGUUCCGGCAUCGAUGAAGAACGCAGCGAAAUGCGAUAACUAGUGUGAAUUGCAGAAUUCCGUGAAUCAUCGAGUCUUUGAACGCACAUUGCGCCCCCUGGUAUUCCGGGGGGCAUGCCUGUCCGAGCGUCAUUGCUGCCCAUCAAGCACGGCUUGUGUGUUGGGUCGUCGUCCCCUCUCCGGGGGGGACGGGCCCCAAAGGCAGCGGCGGCACCGCGUCCGAUCCUCGAGCGUAUGGGGCUUUGUCACCCGCUCUGUAGGCCCGGCCGGCGCUUGCCGAACGCAAAUCAAUCUUUUUCCAGGUUGACCUCGGAUCAGGUAGGGAUACCCGCUGAACUUAA
rnacentral:rRNA from 1 species